rnacentral:snRNA from 1 species
AUCGCUUCUCGGCCUAUGGCUAAGAUCAAAGUGUAGUAUCUGUUCUUAUCAGCUUAAUAUCUGAUACGCUCUCCAUUGGAGAGCCAGAAUAUUAAUCUGAUUUUUGAAACUAAUCUGGACCCACGGGCUUGCUCGGGGCGGAUACGAGUUGUACCGGCAUUGCAGUGCCGCCGGUUUCAGCUCAAUAAUA